GUCCUACGGGAGGCAGCAGUGGGGAAUUUUGCACAAUGGGCCCAAGCCUGAUGCAGUGACGCCGCGUGAGGGAUGCCGGCUUUCGGGUUGUAAACCUCUUUCAGUAGGGAAGAAGCGUAAGUGACGGUUCCUCCAGAAGAAGCCCCGGCUAACUACGUGCCAGCAGCCGCGGUAAUACGUAGGGUGCAAGCGUUAUCUGGAAUUAUUGGGCGUAAAGAGCUCGUAGGCGGUUUGUCGCGUUUGCUGUGAAAGUCCGGGGGUCAACUCCGGUUCUGCAGUGGGUACGGGCAGACUAGAGUGCAGUAGGGGAGAUUGGAAUUCCUGGUGUAGCGGUGAAAAGCGCAGAUAUCAGGAGGAACUCCGACGGCGAAGGCAGGAAUCCGGGCGGG
rnacentral:rRNA from 1 species